AUCAUCCAGAGAUUCACAGAUGUCGACUUCUAGCAAUGAGCAAGCAAGACAACCGAGUCACGGAUUUCGGAGACCCCGAGGCACCAAUCAAGGAAACAGAGGCGGAGAAACCACAGUGAAUCCGAAUACCACCAGAGUCAUCAGAUCACAGGUAUCCUAGAUAGAUCCACUAGGACCAUGCCGCAGGAGAUACAACUGUCAUGAUCCAUUUACUGAUAUGCACUGUUUUCUAUUUAUAUAGAAAUAAGACGGCAAAUUUUAUUGCAAUGAAUGCAUUUGAUAUCAACAUGUAAACUGUUAAUCAUGUGCAUAUAGACUGAAUGCUGUCAAAAUUAAUCUUUUAGUGCCUGAUGAAGGCCCAAUAAGGCCAAAAACGUUUGCAUAUACGU